CCUACGGGGGGCUGCAGUGAGGAAUAUUGGUCAAUGGACGAGAGUCUGAACCAGUCAAGUAGCGUGAAGGAUGACUGCCCUAUGGGUUGUAAACUUCUUUUAUAUGGGAAUAAAACGUUCCACGUGUGGGAUUUUGUAUGUACCAUAUGAAUAAGGAUCGGCUAACUCCGUGCCAGCAGCCGCGGUAAUACGGAGGAUCCGAGCGUUAUCCGGAUUUAUUGGGUUUAAAGGGAGCGUAGGUGGAUUGUUAAGUCAGUUGUGAAAGUUUGCGGCUCAACCGUAAAAUUGCAGUUGAAACUGGCAGUCUUGAGUACAGUAGAGGUGGGCGGAAUUCGUGGUGUAGCGGUGAAAUGCUUAGAUAUCACGAAGAACUCCGAUUGCGAAGGCAGUUCACUGGACUGCAACUGACACUGAGGCUCGAAAGUGUGGGUAUCAAACAGGAUUAGAUACCCGGGUAGUC
rnacentral:rRNA from 1 species